AAGUAACCAUCCUUAAAUUUUCUCCUCUCGGAGACGAGGCAGUGAAACAAAGCCGUUUUCCUUUCCUUUCGGAUUACACAAGAAGGCACCCAUCCAUGACCACCUCCCUCGGAGCCGCCCCGAAGCUCCCCUUCUCUCCCUCCACCCUCCACACCCUCGCCAGAAGGCUCCCUGUCUCCCCCUUUCUCCUAUCCCCUAAACCCUUCUCCUCUCGAGCCCUCGGCUUCGGUUUUCCUCUUCCUCCACGCUUGCGCUCUUCUUCUUCUUCUUCUUCCCUUCUCCCCCGUCGUCGCUUGGCCGCGCGCGCCGGCACCGGCGCCGACAACGGAGCCGCAGGGGAGCCCCGGCGCUAUGAUUUUGAUCUCUUCACCGUUGGCGCUGGCAGCGGCGGGGUCCGGGCCUCGCGCUUCGCCGCCAACUAUGGUGCUUCCGUGGCCAUUUGCGAGCUCCCCUUCGCCACGAUAUCUUCCGACCUUGCUGGCGGUGUCGGAGGAACCUGUGUGCUCCGUGGAUGUGUUCCGAAGAAAUUGCUGGUUUAUUCAUCCAAGUACUCUCAUGAAUUUGAAGAGAGUCGUGGUUUUGGAUGGACCUAUGAAGCUGAUCCGAAGCAUGACUGGAGCACCCUGAUGGCCAACAAAAAUGCCGAGUUGCAGCGCCUCACCGGGAUUUACAAAAAUAUUUUGAAGAAUGCUGGGGUGACAUUAAUUGAAGGUCGUGGAAAGAUAAUUGACCCACAUACUAUUGACGUAGAUGGGAAACUCUACUCUGCUAGGCACAUACUUAUUUCAGUUGGUGGUCGACCCUUCCUGCCAGACAUUCCUGGAAAGGAGUUUGCCGUUGACUCAGAUGCUGCUUUAGAUUUGCCUUCAAAACCUGAAAAGAUUGCAAUAGUAGGAGGAGGCUACAUUGCUUUAGAGUUUGCUGGCAUCUUCAAUGGACUAACAAGUGAUGUUCAUGUUUUUAUUCGGCAAAAAAAAGUGCUUAGAGGCUUUGAUGAGGAGAUCAGAGACUUUGUUGCAGAGCAGAUGUCUCUUAGGGGUAUUGAAUUUCACACUGAACAGUCUCCUCAGGCAAUCCUUAAAUCAGCAGAUGGUUCACUAUCGCUGAAAACUAACAAGGGAACUGUUGAUGGUUUCUCACAUGUAAUGUUUGCAACAGGUCGAAGACCAAAUACAAAGAACUUGGGACUGGAGGAGGUUGGAGUGAAAUUGGCCAAGAACGGAGCAUUAUUGGUUGAUGAAUACUCUCGGACAUCGGUUGAUUCCAUCUGGGGUGUCGGAGAUGUUACUGAUAGGAUGAACCUCACUCCAGUUGCAUUGAUGGAAGGAGGGGCUUUUGCAAAAACUGUAUUUGGCAAUGAACCUACAAAACCAGAUUACAGAGCGGUGCCAUCUGCUGUGUUUUCUCAGCCACCUAUUGGAACAGUCGGUCUUACUGAGGAGCAGGCAAUUCAAGAAUAUGGGGAUGUUGAUAUCUACACAGCUAACUUCAGGCCUCUGAAGGCCACUCUCUCUGGUCUUCCUGAUCGUGUAUUUAUGAAAAUUAUUGUUUGUGCAAGCACGAACAAAGUUUUAGGAGUGCACAUGUGUGGGGAGGAUUCCCCAGAGAUUGUCCAGGGGAUUGCUAUUGCUGUCAAGGCUGAACUUACAAAGGCAGAUUUUGAUGCCACGGUUGGUAUCCACCCUACGUCUUCAGAGGAAUUUGUCACAAUGAGAACUCCAACUCGAAAAAUUCGGAGUUCUUCCUCUAGUGAGGAAAAGACUGAUGAUGGGGUCAAGUCAGCAGUAGAUGUUUAGAACUUUUACAGUAAGGAGUCGAGGAACGAUGAAGAGGUGUAAGUUCUUAUUUUAAGAACAAUACUGGAACAAUGUGCCAUGGAUGCACAAAGAUGCAUUGUUGGUGGAGCAUGGAGAAUGAUCACUUGCUGGUCAGGUUGAAAUAUCUGGACCUCUUAGUGCAACUGGAUUGGAUUGGAGUGGUGUUGCAUGGACAUGGAGAUGAGAAUGCUUUAGACAUGCGUCCAAGUGUCUGUUUCAGCAAGAGGGAAAAAGCAAGAUAGAAAGAGCUUUGGAUUCAAGAAUAUUGAGAUAUUCACUAUUGAGGGAAUUUAAGGAAAUCUGUCAUUUGUGCUCUCUCUUUCUGUGAUCAAGUUCCGAGCUUUCUUCUCUUCAUAUCUCGGUGGAAAUAAAAAUUGAUCAUAUUUUAUGUAAAUAUAGUGCUCUCUCUCUCUCUCUCUCUCUCUCUCUCUCUCUCUUCCCUACAUAAUAUUUAUGCUGGUCAGGUUUCUGUUUCUUUAGAUUAUGCUUGAAGUCGUCAAAGAAUUUAUGCAGCUCGUACCCUCAUCAAUGUUUGGCUGGUCUAUUUGCAUCCCAUUGGUUAUAUUAUACCUGAUGGCUGUGCCUGUGACUUGUAAGCCCUGCAGGAUAUUAUCUACAAGCUAGAUGAUUGUAUACUUUAUGUAUUUAUUUUGCCUAUUUAAUUCCCCUGAGGAGCACUGUAUAUUGUGCUGCUAUGUGGACUGAUCAAAUUGCGAACAUAUGAAAAUUGAUUAUGUUCACUUUUUAUGGUUUGCUAUACGAAACUUUACGUUUCUUGA